AAGAUCCAUUGUUGUUUUGUUGCUGUGAGAGUAAAUGAAUACAAUUUUCUUGCAAGAUUAGUCUCUAAAUGCUUGAAGAUAGCGGGCAUUCAGGAAGCAGUUUUGAGUGAAAUCACUUUCAUAUUAAGCUACUAGUCAAAAUUUUAGCUUUUCAUUGACUGCAAUAGAUUGAUUGAUUAUUGUUUUCAGGUUGGAUAUUCAUCACCUGCUGAGUCUGGAAUGAGGGCAGACCUGGGACUUUCAGUGACAGAAGUAAGUUGACGAAGCCCAAGUUAUCCAUGAACACAGAACGUUAAAAUAAACAAAUAAAUUCAUAUAAACAUUGGCCAGAAUAUGUCACUUUUGAUACACACGUGUACAGACAACAUCUACUAUUAUGUAUGCAGAUUCACUUAACUGAUCAUUACUAUUAUAUGAUCUUAUACAUUUUGAGUCCUAUUAUUGACCAUGGCUUUCCCUUAUUCUUCUCAUUCUGCAGUACUCAGUUUUUGGUUCAGUAUUGACAUUUGGAGGAAUAAUAGGUUCACUAGUAAAUGGGAAAAUAGCAGACCCCACUGGUCGAAGAGGUGUAAGUCAUUCAAUCGUCCGCUUUAUGUCUCAAUGAAUAGUAUGAAAUUUCUUUUACUGUUGUCAAUAGUAUUUAAUUAACUGCAAGUGCAACAGGCAAUGUGGCUAUCUGAGUUAUUCUGUAUAGUUGGGUGGCUGGCAAUUGCAUUCUCAAAGGUCUUUUUCCUUUAGCUUCUCUUUUUCAUCACAGUCAUGCUUGAUUUGGCUGCCUGCAUGAAAACCAUACUUAGAAUCUUAUUUGGAAUUCAAUUGUCCUUUUCGGGGUUCAAGUUGCAUGUCUACCUCUAUCUACUAUUAAAAUGGUAUGUCAAUAGGCUAUAAUUUACUUGUGUACUUGUUGAUGGGAUGCUUGGUCCCUAUAUCUUGGACGCUGUUCUAUUGGGAUUGGACUUGCGCUUAUUGCUUAUGUGGUAAGUGACAUGAACAAUUUCAUGGUUGCUUAAUUCACAUGUGAGGCAUGUCACAGCAUUUGCAUCAUUGUUCCAAGACAGAUACCUAUAUAUAUUGCGGAAAUAACACCCAAAAACAUCCGGGGAGCAUUUACAGCUACUAGUCAGGUAUAUAUAUGUUAAUUAUAAUGAUUAUAUUACUUGUCUAACUUAUAUUUAAUGAGUGUUUACUUUGUCAUCAAUUCUGCAGUUCUUGAUUGUGUCUGGUAUGUCAGUAAUGUAUUUGGUGGGUACUAUUGUUUCCUGGCGAGCCCUGGCUCUAAUUGGUAGCUUCAGCUUGCCCUGCUUUUGAUUUCAUUUGCUUAAUUGCUAAGCCCUUCAAGAUUUCUGAUGUUUCUUUUUCAUUUAAUUUUCAGCUGCUGUUCCAUGUCUGUUGCAAGUUGUUGGUUUGUUCUUCAUUCCAGAGUCACCAAGAUGGCUGGUUAGUCCAAGUCAAAUGUCCAUAAACUUUUUUCCUGGUGGAAUUUAAUUUUGCAAAAAACAGAGACUGGAGUCCCUAGCUUUUUGUUUAAGUUCUUGCUACUAUGCUUGUGAACUAAGAGCGUAUUAAAGUUAAAUGUGUAUUUCUCUUUGCAGGCAAAGAUAGGUAAAGAAAAAGAGCUAGAAACUACUCUACAGUGCCUUAGGGGAAAGACUGCAGAUAUUUCUAUGGAAUCUGCUGACAUCAGAGUAAAAUUCCAACUCUAAUAUUUGACUACUCAGUAAUUACAAAACACAUGAAACAGCUGUACAUCUCUUGCACAAAACAACCAAUGAGCAUCCCAUAUUGUACAGGAUUGCACGCAGACAUUUGAGAAGGACUCGAAAGCUGGGAUUUUUGACCUGUUUCAGCGGAGAUAUGCUUAUUCACUCUCAGUGAGUCCUUAAUAGUUGUAUAUAUAUAUUUUUUUAUAUAUUUGUAAUCUCGUCAUAUAUCAUCUGUCCUAUUUAAGUGGUUUAGGUUGGAGUUGGAUUAAUGGUAAUGCAACCAUUUGUAGGAUCAGCUGCAAUUGCAUAUUAUGCUAGCUACAUAAUUGCAGCAGCUGGUAAAUAAACAACAUUUUGUACUAUUUCAUAGAACUUCUGAAUAUCCAAGAAUAUGACAGUAUGAAUCUUUUGUUUGUAACAGAUCUUUCGACGGACAUUGGGAGUAUAUCAAUGGCUAUCAUUCAGGUAAUUGACCAUCAAUCAAACGUGAGAUUUUUCCAUUUGAAAUACUCAGGAACAUACAAUUUCUUUUACAGCUUCCGGCUAUUGGCGCGUCCGUACUCCUGACAGAUAGAUUUGGUAGAAGACCACUUCUUUUGGUUUGCACAUAUAAGAGAAUUAAGUUUAUCCAAAAAUUAGUUAUUCAGGAUAUAUAAAUGUUCAUAUUUUUGCAGGCUUCUACUAUCUGGAUGGGCUUAAGUCUCACUAUUAUAGCUUUGGCAUUUGGCCUGCAGGUUCUUCUAUUACAAAAUUUAUGCACUUCUUCACUAGUUCUCAAUUCUGUUUGACAUAUUAAUGAUCAUUGCUUAAAAAACUUAUGUGCAGGACACCCAUCUUUGGAAUGAGGCUACUCCAGUCCUUGUGUAUGUUGGCAUAAUGGUAAUAGUCUCUAAAUGUUGUGAGCUAACAUCGAAGUGUUCUUUCUCUGUAAAGAUUUUUUUUCCCAAUUGUAUCGUCUGCCUAAUUGGAGCAACAUAUGGCAAAAUAUAUGAUCAGGGGUUUAGCAUAGCUUUUGCAUUAGGCAUGGCGGGACUACCAAGUGUCAUAAUGGCUGAGGUAUAUGACUACAUGAUCUAGCUCUACUUCUUUUCAUGAAUGUCUUAUCAGGAGUCGAUAAAUAAGCCAUUGAACUUCCAUUUUUCAGAUAUUUCCAAUAAACAUCAAAGGUUCAGCAGGAAGCCUGGUGAUUUUACUCCACAACUGCAGCAAUUGGAUAGUUACAUACACUUUCCAUUUCACGAUGGAAUGGAGCAGAACAGGCACCUGAAACCCCCCACCAUAUAUGCUCGUACUAUUUUCCACUUCUCAAUCCUCUUUAUCUUGCUCUCUAAUUACAAGUCUGUGUUGGCUGCUAUGGCAGGAACAUUUUCUAUAUUCUGGGUCAUUUGCGCUGCCGCUGUCCUGUUCGUUGCAUUUCUGGUGCCGGAGACCAAGGGACGACACUCGAAGAAAUUCAAGUAUCAAUUACAAAGUAUUAAUAAAUUUUAUAACAGAACUCCACAUUUGUCCAAAACCAUGCACAUAUAAAUGCCUUAAUAAAAUGGUGUAUAUGAUCUUGGAGCUGAAUUAUUACAAAAAUGAGAAAAUGGCUAAGACCUUAAAAAGUUGAGAGACAAGGAUUGAAAGAUGAAGAAUAAAGUAGCUGGGAGAAGAAGAAGAAAGUCGAUAAGAGUGGGAAAAUGUGCAGAAUAAGUUUGAUAAUUUAUUGAGUAUUUGUUGCGCAUGUAUGGCGCAUCAUGGCUACAGAAACAUCUCAGUUUAUGAUAAUUAUCAUUUUGUUGUGGAAUUAGUUGGAAAUUAUCCAGACAUACACAUAAAUAAUAAGAAGUUAAAAGGAUCAGGUCAAGAAAAUGGACGCCAACCUUUGUGAGAGUGGUCACCUGCUUCGAAGUUCUCAAUAACUCAUAAUAUAUUUCACUUUCACUGCUUUAGUGCGACUCGAAUCCUCUGCAUCUCCUAAUAUAUUUGACGUCUUUAGUGUGACCCAGUUUAGUACUCUAGUGCAUGACCUGUGAAUUGGCCUUUAUUCAAGGGUACGUCUAUCAGAGCACUCACGGGCCAUGUUGGCAAGUCAAAGCAUUGCCACGAUUUCCUGCCUGUCGCAAAAGGGCAUAAAUAAUUUUUUCGGGCAGUUGCAGUAGUUGUCAUGCGCUUGCUUCGUUCAUUUGCCUUGCUUUCCCUUGAAGAAAUUAAUCAUCAUGGAGAGACCAGAAGAAAGGUUGAAGUUGGAGGAAAGACUAAUUCCAAGUUCUUCACUUGCUGAUGAAAUUGGUGAUGGCAGUGGCAUGCAAGAAAGUGAUUCUUCAGCCACACCUGCUGUUGUUCUCGGCGCUUUGGUGGCCGUACGUGGUUCAUUUGCUUAUGGUUGAUCUGUAUGUACCAUUAUUAUCAUCAUGUUUUUAGUGUUGUUUUAUCUCUCUCUUUUUCAGUUCCUUUUCUUGAUGGCGUGUAUUUAGACAUGUUCAUUAGCUACACUAUAAACGUGAAUAAUUGGAGUGUCUUAGAAUUGUAACUGGGCUGUUACAUUCACAUUCCAUUUCAUGAUGGAAUGGAGCAAAACAGGUAUCCGAUAAUCCCCCAUGCUUAUACAUUUUCCAUUUCGCAAUCCUCUGUCUUCUGUGUUGGCUACUCUGGCAGGAACAUUUUCUAUAUUCUGGGUCAUAUGCGCCGCAGGUGUUGCGUUUGUUACAUUCCUGGUGCCGGCGACCAAGGGACGAACACUUGAAGAAAUACAAGCAUCAAUUACAAAGCUUUCUGGGAGAUAAAUCAAAAUCACUCCACUGCAAGUGUAAUAAUAACCUGGUUUGGUUGGACUGCAAGUGUAAACUCCCCUCACAGGAUGUGCUUGGUGUGACGCCCCGGAUUAGACUGUACUGGACUAAAAUGUACUAAGUUUAAAACGGUACUGGAUUAUAAUAUCUGUUAAAUUUUUUUAAUAAUAAUAGAUUAAUAUUAUUUGUGUACUUUAUAUUCUUAUUACUUAAUAAAAUAUUAUUAUUAUUACUAUUAUUAUUUUGUAUUAUCACCCGGGCUAAUGUUAAUCGCUGACAAUUGCUUUGUUGUCAUAUAAACCAAAGAUAAAUUUGUAGGGUCCAGUGAUCAUUUUAAAAAAAAACAAAAUUUUUGAGGCUUUUUCCUAGCCGCACGAGUUAGUGGGAAAUGGUGGGCCCCGUCAGUUGUCAGUUAAUCUAGGCCCAACCAGUGGACCGGGCCGAAAUCACAGUUAGCCUUUCCUUGGGUUUUCCGUCAUUUCCAUACCAUUGAAACUCAAAGAUUUUUAUUUUAUUUUCUUACCAAGCAGAAAACUGAUUGUUGUUGAAACUUUUUCUCUUCACAUGCACAGCUUGCAUGGAAAGUGACGCCGCAUUGAUUAUUUAUUUAUUUCAAAUACUGAUACGUUGCAAUCAAAAGCCUAAUGAUUCAAGAUAUAUGUCCAAUCUGCAUAAGAUAAGAGUGGGACGGGAAGCCAUACAAAAUCGAUACUACCCACAUGAUGAGUGUUUGGCUUUAGGAUGGUGUUUAUUAACAUGUCUGCAUUGUAACUCGCACUAAUUAGUAUUUCUUCUUUUUAUCAUUUUUUUUUAAAGAUAAGAGAAUAGAUAAAGCUUGAGUGUAUUUUUUAAAAUUACUCGACCGCGUUCCUAGAGACAAUAUAUAUAUAUAUAUAUAUAUAAGAAAAAUUAUCAGUACUUGCUCUUUUAUAUUGAUUACAACACAUGGGCAGGGCCUGAAACAGCCGCGGUGCACAUUUCAACGUACAAAAAAGGGGGACUGGAAGAGAGCAAAUGUACUUGCUGCAGCCAAAGAGAGACCAAGGCCCUCCAUGAUUUCGGAUUCAGCAGGAAUUGAAUGUCCCGCCUAAUUUCAUGCCAAUGGUCAAUACCAACUAUUUCGGAUAAUUAAUUCUUGUAAGUUAACAUGGUUCAGCUGGAAGCCAAUAUAUAUUUUUUUAAUUACUUGAGGUUAUUAGUUAGAGCACAAUUCAUAUUUCGUGAGACUCAGAUAAUUACUGAAAAUAGUAUUUUAUAAAGAGUAAAUUUUCUUUCCAUAUACUCAAUUAUACAAUAUAAUUAAGAAAAGAAUUAUCUCUUGAUUUUUUUUUGAGGGGUUUAAAUUGUGAUGACAAUAACCUUAAUCAUUGGGCCUAAAGUCAAGUGGCUUAUUGUUCCUAGUAAAAUUAAAAUUAAAGUUUUUUUCUAUUAUCAUAAUAUUGAAAAAAAAAAAAUUGUCAGGUGGGCUCUAUGCAGUCGCAUCAUUUCAACUGUUUUUUUUAUAAUUCCAAUAAUGCAGUGUUCUUUCUUUCACUUGCUCCUGUGAAAGAAUUAGGACAUGGAGAAUCCAGAAAGCUUGGAGGAGGGACUAAUAGCAAAGUCUUCACUUGCUCAGCCAAAUCCUAUAAAAAUUACAAAUGAAGUUGGUGAGCGCAGUGGCUUGCCGGAGAGUGACAAUUCUUCAGCUACACCCGUUGUUGUUCUUAGCACCUUGGUAGCCAUAUGUGGUUCAUUUGCUCAUGGCUGUUCUGUAAGUAGCAUACCGUUAUCAUGCAUGCUAGUUACUUUUUUUUGUUUCUUGAUCUUAAAUGUGAAGAAGAAAUGAGUAGAUUACCAUAAAAUUGAGUUUUUUUAUUGAUUUUUAACUGUCUAUCCUACCUACAAUCAUGUGAUUGGUAUUAGGUAAGCUUAGAUGACAGGUCCAGUACUUUGAUGUUAAAUGGUGUGUAUUUGUCAAAUGUUUUUCACUUUCAGCAAACAGUGGAAUAGUGUAUUAUGGUGGCUUACCAACUUGAGCAAAUUGGAUUGUUUCAAAGUUUCAUUCUUGUUUUGAAAUGCAGCUCAAUUAUCAAUUACCAAUCAACAGUUACUUUAAGCCAACGGAAUAGGAUCUUAUGUCAAUAUGUUUAACAUUAACAUAUAUGUUGUUAGUUGGUGACUUUAGAGAAUAGAGAUAAGCAUUAAUCAAAAUUUUCAUCAUCAAAUACAUGAAACGGGUGGACUAUCCUAAUCAUAAAAAAAAAAUAAUCUAUUAUAAUAUAUACUAAAAAUUCAAAUGCUUAUAAAGAUUUCUUCUGCAGCUGUCAUUCCAAUUUCUUAUUUCAUAGUUGUCGAAUGCUUCUUUUUUUCCAUUGCCCCUCUUUCGCUCAAGAAAAAUAAUGAUGGAGACAUCAGAAAGCUUGGAGGAAGGACUAAUUCCGAAUCCUCCACUUCUUGAGCCAACGCCUAUGAUCACCAAUGAAAUUGGUAAUGGCGGGGGCAUGUCUGAAAGUGAUUUUUCUACUACACCUGCUGUUGUUUUCAGCACCUUGGUGGCCAUAUGCGGCUCAUUUACUUAUGGCUGUGCUGUAAGAUCCAUUGCUGUUUUUUUUGCUGUCAGAGCAAGUCAAUACAUUUUUCUUGCAAGAUUAAUCUCUAAAUGCUUGAAGAUAGGAGGCUUUCAGGAGCAGUUUUGAGUGAAAUCACUUUCAUCACAAGCCACUAGUCAAAAUAUUAGUUUUUCAUUGACUGCAAUAGAUUGAUUGAUUGUUGUUUUCAGGUUGGAUAUUCAUCAGCUGCUGAGUCUGGAAUGAGGGCAGACCUGGGACUCUCAGUGACAGAAGUAAGUUGAGCAAGCCCAAGUUAUCCAUGAACACAGAACGCUAAAAUAAAUAAAUAAAUUCAUAUAAACUUUGGCCAGAAUAUGUCACUCUUGAUACACACACGUACACACAACAUCUAUUAUUGUGUAUGCAGAUUCACUUAAUUGAUCAUCACUAUUAUAUGAUCUUAUACAUUUUGAGUCCUAUAAUUGACCAUGGCUUUCCCUUGUUCUUCUAAUUCUGCAGUAC
rnacentral:lncRNA from 1 species